AUUGAACGCUGGCGGCAGGCCUAACACAUGCAAGUCGAGCGGUAGAGAGAAGCUUGCUUCUCUUGAGAGCGGCGGACGGGUGAGUAAUGCCUAGGAAUCUGCCUGGUAGUGGGGGAUAACGUUCGGAAACGGACGCUAAUACCGCAUACGUCCUCCGGGAGAAAGCAGGGGACCUUCGGGCCUUGCGCUAUCAGAUGAGCCUAGGUCGGAUUAGCUAGUUGGUGGGGUAAUGGCUCACCAAGGCGACGAUCCGUAACUAGUCUGAGAGGAUGAUCAGUCAAACGGGAUGUGAGAAACGGUACAGACUCCUACGGGAGGCAGCAGUGGGGAAUAUUGGACAAUGGGGGAAAGCCUGAUCCAGACAUGCCGCGUGUGUGAAGAAGGUCUUCGGAUUGUAAAGCACUUUAAGUUGGGAGGAAGGGCAGUAAAUUAAUACUGUGCUGUUUUGACGUUACCGACAGAAUAAGCACCGGCUAACUCUGUG
rnacentral:rRNA from 1 species